rnacentral:rRNA from 1 species
AUAUUCCUGUACUUGGUGUUACUGCGAAGGGGGGACGGAGAAGGCUAUGUUAGCCGGGCGACGGUUGUCCCGGUUUAAGCAUGUAGGCUGGUUAUCCAGGCAAAUCCGGAUAAUCAAGGCUGAGGUGUGAUGACGAGGUACUACGGUGCUGAAGUAACAAAUGCCCUGCUUCCAGGAAAAGCCUCUAAGCAUCAGGUAACAUCAAAUCGUACCCCAAACCGACACAGGUGG